UACGGGGGGUGCGAGCGUUGUCCGGAAUCACUGGGCGUAAAGGGCGCGUAGGCGGCUCAUGAAGGCUGUGGUGAAAGUCCGGGGCUCAACCUCGGAUCGGCCGUGGCGACUCGUGGGCUGGAGCACUGUAGAGGCGGGUGGAACUCCGAGUGUAGCGGUGGAAUGCGUAGAGAUUCGGAAGAACACCCAUGGCGAAGGCAGCACUCUAGGCUUGAGCCGUAAAGGUUAACCUGACGCUGAGGUGACGAAAGCCAGGGGAGCGAAACGGG
rnacentral:rRNA from 1 species